UACGGAGGGUGCAAGCGUUAUCCGGAUUCACUGGUUUAAAGGGAGCGUAGGUGGGCUUGUAAGUCAGUGGUGAAAUCUCCGGGCUUAACCGGAACUGACCAUUGAUACUAUCAGUCUUGAAUACCGUGGAGGUAAGCGGAAUAUGUCAUGUAGCGGUGAAAUGCUUGAUAUGACAUAGAACACCAAUUGCGAAGGCAGCUUACUACCCGAAAUAUUGACACUGAGGCACUGAAAG
rnacentral:rRNA from 1 species